rnacentral:pre_miRNA from 1 species
AUACAAGUGUUUGUGGAUGGUGUUCAGCACCAGGGACAGGGGUGUUUGCCUAUGUGUGGAUAGUGUUAAGCACCAAGUACAGGUGUGUAUACCU